UCGGGUUACAGUGGAGGUUUGUUCUAGCACAGAAAGGCGUCAACAUCAAAUACAGUGCGGUUUACAUUUGGGUCGAUUUGAUCAGGUAUGUCUUUGUUGAAAUGUAGUUUCUUAAACUUGUACCAUAAACUGGUUAAUGUUAUAUUAGGAAGAGAAUUUUCGAUUUAUGGCAGAGCGCAUAUACUUGCAUUUUCUUGAUACCCAUGCAUACCAUAUACUGGCAACACCCACUAUAAUAUACAUGAACUUGUGGCGGUUAGAGCUCCACAACUGGCCUCUGUAGCUCAGUUGGUCAGAGCGCUGCACUGGAAUCGCAGGGCCGCAGAUUCGAUUCCUGCCAGAGGACCUAUAUAGUUGUAUUUUUCGAAACUGCUCCUGGUUAUAGGUCUAAAAUUGCAUCUAAGUGUCCGCUGGAAAUUUCAUCUGCGAGUCGGGAUAAAAUUGCAGUUGAAUGAAAACAUGUAUUACUGAAGUAUUCGAUCAUCCAUUUACAAACGCACAAUUUGUGUCUUUUCUCUCGGACGAACAAGUAUAGCACUAAUCAAAAUCUAGUUUUUAUGUCGUUGACGCGAUUUCAUUAAGAAAGAAAUUCUUUCGCCUUUCUUUCUUGUUAGGGAGCUUAACAUGCACAAAAUCUGCGACACGGACAAAAAACAGUCGCUAAUAAUGGGAGACUAUAGUUUUACUUUGUUUUUCUCAUGUCCCUGGCUUUGUUUACCAACAACAAUCCAUAGUUUUUACCCGUGAAGUGAAACUGUAAUAAUAGCGGCAGUUUUUCGUCACGUCCGAGUCGUAGACGUCGUUAAACGUCGUAGACGUUUUACGAAAGUGGUGUGGUCAACGUGUUUUAAGUUUUUCGUAACAUUGUCGUUUUCACUUGGUAAUCUUGGAAUGCAUGCAAUUCAAACGGAUUCUUUUGACAACAGAGGCAUUUUAAUGUACUUAACCUUUUUCAUUAUCGUAUUAAUCCUGUAUACGUGUUUGCCUACAUUCACUUUAUCAUAAUGUAAUCCUUGUAAUUUACUGUAUAUUACGAUUUAUAUGCUAAUCAUGACUAUAACCAAUUAGAUUCACCCUACAGUUAUUAGAAAUUGAAUAAGGCAAUAAAGGAUUAUUCUACAGAAUACAGUUAUUGAAAACAAAAUCAGAUAACAUACAUGUUAUGAUGGAGUCUUGGUCGACGUCAGUUCAUUUUGAUAUCUUAAAUAGUUCACAUGAUAAAAUAUCGGGCGUUCUUCCGCUGUUUAUACAGAAGAAACAGCAAGUUCUGAAGUCAUUACCAAAUUUCAUAUAACCGUUCUCGGAGGCUAUUGUAAUUAAUUAUGCAUGGUUAAUCUCUGGUGAAAGAGAUAAAAGCUUUUUUAUUCAUUGGCCUUGAAAGACUGACAAGUCAAUGGGACGCCACAGCCAUGGGACAGUUACUGCCCCCCUCCUGAACUCCCCCCCCCCCUUGGCCAAACAGCACGGCGACAGCAGGUUGCCUUUCUUACAAGAACUACACUUCGAAAGUCGUGGGUUGCUCACGUCAAUUGAUAUUGAGGCUUGUUUUCAAGUCAUUUAGCUGAACUUUGAAUCUGAAACCGAUUAUCAAUGGAGCAUUUACAUUAUAGAUUAAAUUUGGAUCUAGACAAAAAUUUCAUCACAGCUUGAAAGAGCAUCACAAAAUUAGUAAUAUUCCAAAGUUUCGUUGCGAAUUGUUGUAAAAUGCGGAUAAUAUAGCCUUGCGAAGUUUGCCGUUUUUCAGUCAUUUUGUAUUACGCACGGGAAAUUGACAGCCCAAUUGGGUGUUGGGGCAUCAAUUUCCCUUUUGUAAUACAAAAUGACUGAAAAUUGCAAAUUUCGCAAAGCUAUAUUAUCCGCAUUUUACAACAUUUCGCAACGAAACUUUGGAAUGUUACUAAUUUUGUGAUGCUCUUUCAAGCUGUGAUGAAAUUUUUGUCUAAACCAAAAUUUAGUCUAUAAUGCAAAUGGUCCAUUAGGUUUCCACCCUUAUGAAAAAGAUAAAAAGCCUUCUUAAAUAAUUGUCAUGUUGUUUUACUGAUGCAAGUUUGAAAAUUCCACGAGCGCUUUUAGGCUUCGCGAUAAAACGUUGAGUGAGUGAGUGAGAAGUCAGUUCUACUCACUACGAAAGCGAAUAGAGUGGCAAAAUUUAAUAGAAUCACUGAUGUGCAACCAUGCGUACAAGUGUUUAGCGUCAUGCGAUAAAUAAAGAUGUUGCAAUCAAUGCCGAAAUUUGUCUAACUAUAUUGGCUACAAGUAAUCAAGUAUCCGUACAGCAAAAUCCGAAACGAACACUGCCGGCCACAAGAAGGCUCAGAAGUGCUCUUUUCAAAUUGCUGACCCCUUCACGUUGCUUCAAGCCCCUGCAAUUUAUAAUACAUUUUCUCGGGGUGGGGUGGGGGUCCCACGGCCCUGUGUCGUAUCUAUCUGGAAAUGCACGGGAAAACCUCUGAAACAUUAUUUUCUAGACGUGAGUUAUAUCUUUAUUGUAGGAUUUAAAUACGAAAAAUAAUGCUUCAAAAGUUGUCACUCUUGUUCUUCGUUGUCUCCGUGACCGGAAAUGCAGGUGAGUGGCGUUGCAUGCCAAGGAAUUACAUGGCGUAAAAAAGGGAACCGAUUUUUAUCGUCUGACACACUAGUCAUUCGUUGCCAGGGAAUUAUGACGUGAUCUCAACUUGAGGACAUAUAUGUACAGAAAGAUAUUUAUAGACUAUAGAGGGAAAAUUUUUAUCGUCGACGUUGAUUGUAUCAUACAUGCGUCACAUUGGCUGUUUGCAUCAUCCUGUUUUGCCCAGGACGUGAUGUGAGGCCGGGUAUUUUCGACGUAUUGAAUGAAACAAGUCACGGUUCGUGAUUCAACAAAACCACCUUGUUUUCCUAAUGAUAGAUUACAGUAUAAUAGUCAGCGAAAGCUUGUUCAAGCAGCAAUUACAAUCUUGUUGAACCACGAAACCUUUUUGCCAAAAUUUCAGUUCUUUUAACCGCGGCGUUAAAAUAAAUCCUUUAAUUAAGCCUAGUGAUUUAUUUCAAUACAUCCCGUGACAGAAUCUCCAUUCAUGUGCAAACAAAUUUUAAAAUUCAGCUUUCGCCAUUGCUUUUGACCAUAUAUCAUGUUUUGACAAAAACGUAACUUGUGAUGUACAAAUGCAGUGUCACUUCAUUUUUUAAAAGUGAUUCAAUUUAAUUUCAUUAUACACUACUGCAAGACUAUACAAUAGGCAACUCUAGCUAUAGACUAAAUUUUGAUCUAGGCACGAAGAACAAAUCUAUCACCACAGCUUGAAAGAGCAUGUUAAAAUUAGUAAAGUUGCAAAGUUUGGCCGCGAAAUGUUGUAAAAUGCGGAAAAUAUAGCCCUGCGAAAUUUGCAAAUUUUGUAUUAAUUUGUAUUAUACGCGCGAGAAAAUGCACCACAUUUGGGCGGAAAUUUAGUCUGCACCUGCAAUCAUCUAUUGUGCAGAGAAGAGCGACAUAUGUUGUGACUACUAAUUGCACGUAUUUUUCAGCUGCAUCUGACAAAAAGUGGGAUUACCAUUCAGCUGCAUACGGUACGUAAAUAUUGGUUGGCAUUGAGACUACUGGUGAUCAUGGGCCAAUUCUGUGAUCGCGGUUUGACUCCUGCAUGCAAUAUGUAAUUGUCUGAUUAUAAUUUCACCUCAUAUGAGAGGAUCGCUUCGAGUUUCACUUUACCAAACACCGAAGGUGUUCUCUAGGUACGCUAGUUUCCUUCUGUUGUAACACUGGGUCAAGAGGUGAUCCUUGCUGAACCUCUAUGGAGAACAGUUAGAACUGAUAUAGAGCUAUCCAAUAUAAAUAAAGUUAGUGUAGUUUAGGUUUCUUCCUGUAGUAUAAACACUGGGUCAAUAAGAGAUGAUCCUUAAUUACUGGACCACUAGGAAGAACAGUUUAGAAGUGACAGAGCUAUCCAGUAUAAAUAAAGUUAGUUCCGUACAUACUUUGAUAAUUCAUUCUUCAAUGAAAGCGUAUAUAUCCACGCAAUGAGAAUCCAGGAAAUCAAUGAAAUUUCAAUGGUGUAGAGCCUAAAGUAACGAUAAGGAAAGAAUGAGUUGAAGGUUAAACGCAAUUCGUGGCGAAAUUGAGGGAUUGUAUAUCUUACUUUAGGUGUCAAUACAUGGCCAAAGCACUUUCCAACGUGCGGAGGAACUAGGCAAUCGCCAAUAAACAUCAACUACCCAACGUACAGCUACUUAGGAAAUAUCUGGUCCACCAACUAUGGUGCUAUCCCAGCAAACGUGAAAACAACUGCAACAAAUAACGGUCAUAGUUACAGCGUAUCAUUCAGUGGCUACACAGACAGUUCUAGUCCGAAAAUAGCUUACGGAGGCUUGCCUGGAGUGUUCAAACUGGUGGGAUUUCACUUUCAUUGGGGGAGUGAUGUUAGCCAGGGAUCUGAACAUCGCGUAAACAACAUGGCUUUCCCAGCUGAG
rnacentral:lncRNA from 1 species